GAUGAACGCUGGCGGCGUGCCUAAUACAUGCAAGUCGAGCGAACAGACGAGGAGCUUGCUCCUCUGACGUUAGCGGCGGACGGGUGAGUAACACGUGGAUAACCUCCCUAUCAGACUGGGAUAACUUCGGGAAACCGGAGCUAAUACCGGAUAAUAUAUUGAACCGCAUGGUUCAAUAGUAAAAGACGGUUUUGCUGUCACUUAUAGAUGGAUCCGCGCCGCAUUAGCUAGUUGGUAAGGUAACGGCUUACCAAGGCAACGAUGCGUAGCCGACCUGAGAGGGUGAUCGGCCACACUGGAACUGAGACACGGUCCAGACUCCUACGGGAGGCAGCAGUAGGGAAUCUUCCGCAAUGGGCGAAAGCCUGACGGAGCAACGCCGCGUGAGUGAUGAAGGUCUUCGGAUCGUAAAACUCUGUUAUUAGGGAAGAACAAAUGUGUAAGUAACUAUGCACGUCUUGACGGUACCUAAUCAGAAAGCCACGGCUAACUACGUG
rnacentral:rRNA from 1 species